ACGCGCCAUUUUAGUGAUUCAGAGUGGCUUCUGGGGGCGCACUUUUAACAUCCGGUCCAUCUUACUGCAGAGGGGGUCAGCUACUAAGGAGUUUUUCAGACAGGUUGCAUGUGUCCUAUAGCUAUUGAGGGAGACAUGAGCACCUACUUGAACAGCAGAGGAGUGCCAUGUAAUGUGCUGGGGAUGCUGGAAUCCAUGGAGGAUUUUUUUUUUCUAAAUGUUCCUUAAAAAUGGUCUAACCCUUUAAGCUCCCAAUAACACAAAGAAAUGAAAGCAGAAAUG